rnacentral:rRNA from 1 species
GGAGUAUGUGGUUAAUUCGACGCAACGCGCAGAACCUUACCUAGACUUGACAUCCCGGGAUUUACUGGAAACAGAGAAGUGCUUUAGCAAUAAAGAACCCGGUGACAGGUGCUGCAUGGCUGUCGUCAGCUCGUGCGUGAGAUGUUGGGUUAAGUCCCGCAACGAGCGCAACCCCUACGUUUAGUUGCUAACAGGUGAAGCUGAGCACUCUAGACGAACUGCCGUUGACAAAACGGAGGAAGGUGGGAUGACGUCAAAUCAUCAUGCCCCUUAUGUUCUGGGCUACACACGUGCUACAAUGGCCGGUACAGACGGAGGCGAAGCCGCGAGGCGGAGCAAAUCCGAAAAAGCCGGUCUCAGUUCGGAUUGCAGGCUGCAAUUCGCCUGCAUGAAGUCGGAAUCGCUAGUAAUCGCAGGUCAGCAUACUGCGGUCGAAUACGUUCCCGGGCCUU